GGCGCCGUACUCAAGUGGUUAAGGGAAAGGUUCGCAAGACCUUAUUUCAGUGGUUCGAAUCCACUCGGCGCCUCCA
rnacentral:tRNA from 1 species